AAUUUAGUCAACGCUAGUGGAACAAGAAAGACAUGGAUCUAUAUUCAAUACGCAAUCAAAGGAUUUCUCCCCAAAAAAGAGAAGAAGUCCCCUUGCUUUCUUUUUGCUCCGCUCGUUCGUGGCACUCCUUGCUCAUAGAGAGGCAUAUCGA